CUAAGAAUAUUCCGCAAUGGACGAAAGUCUGACGGAGCGACGCCGCGUGGAUGAAGAAGGCCGAAAGGUUGUAAAAUCCUUUUGCUGAGGAAGAAUAAGUGUGGGAGGGAAUGCCCGCAUGAUGCCAUGAAUCGGCGAAUAAGCCCCGGCCAACUACGUGCCAGCAGCCGCGGUCACACGUAGGGGGCGAGCGUUGUUCGGAAUUACUGGGCGUAAAGGGCAUGUAGGCGGUUAUGUAAGCCUGGCGUGAAAGUCCACAGCUUAACUGUGGGAUUGCGUUGGGAACUAGAUGACGAGAGUUACGGAGAGGGAGCUAGAAUUCGUGGUGUAGGGGUGGAAUCUGUAGAGAUCAGGAAGAAUACCGAUGGCGAAGGCAAGCUCCUGGCCGAUGACUGACGCUGAGGUGCGAAAGUGAGGGGAUCAAACA
rnacentral:rRNA from 1 species